rnacentral:lncRNA from 1 species
UUAACACGCGCCUGUUUUUCAGUUGGUACGUUUUAACAAUGUGUACCGGAUUAUAAUAGACAAAAAUAUCCUCAUUUAUCAUGGAUUCUAAGUUUUAAGGUAAAGGAUAUUUAAAUAAUUUUCAUUCUCAAAACUCUAAAAAAAAAAAAAAAACGAAACUCCCAAACCCUUACUCACCUCCCUCAUUCCUCUCAACCCUUUCUCUUUCAUCUCUCUCUCCAACAUUUUCUCUGUCAUUCCUAUUGCCCCAAUUGAAAAAAAAAAUCAUAAACCCUUGCCUAACCCUUGUCCUUUUUCCUUUACACAAAGUGUUUCUUUUUCCUUUCUCUGUUGGUAUGGGAUACAU